UGAGUCGGCCGGGUGGCCGCGUGCGGGCGACGCCUCCCUUCCGGGAGGCCGAGACCCGUCCGAGGAACGUCCGGACUCCACAGGGCACGGUGCUGGGUAACACCCAGUCGGGGCGACCCGCAGGAAAGUGCAACAGAGAGCAGACCGCCGAUGGCGGGCCGCGAGGUCCGCACAGGCAAGGGUGCAACGGUGCGGUAAGAGCGCACCAGCGCCCGGGGUGACCCGGGCGGCUCGGUAAACCCCACCGGGAGCAAGGCCAGACAGGGAGUGAGCGGCCCGCUCGACACUCCCGGGUAGGCCGCAGGAGCCGGCGGGCAACCGUCGGCCGAGAUGGAUGGCUACCCAGGGCGGUUCCGCGGAACCGCCUGGACAGAAUCCGGCGUACAGGCCGACUCACCAC
rnacentral:RNase_P_RNA from 1 species